GCAUCGAUGGUUCAGUGGUAAAAUGCUCGCCUGCCACGCUGGCGGCCCGGUUUCGAUUCCCGGCUGAUGUU
rnacentral:tRNA from 1 species